AUUGCUCCAAGAUGGCGGCGGCGGCGGCAGCGGGAGCGCAGCUCAGCUGGGCUGGAACUGCCCUCCUGGAACUCCCCCAGCCUGCAACCUAGGAGGUGCAGGGACUGAGGCUCAGGCCAAAUCGCAACUCAGACCCAGUGAACCCAAGGCCUGAAGAGAAUUUGGAUUCAUUUACAUUGUUUUGUGGGGACUGGAGAGACAAGUAAACUCUCAGAGUAACUGUCCCCUCUGACUACCAUUUCUAAGGCAAGCCCCCUGUUUCUACUCUUGCGCCCCCUUCUGGUUUCCUGCCCUGUCUGUAAGUUGCAUGGCUUUUGUCCGUCUUUUUGUUUGUUUGUUUGUUUGUUUUGAGACAGGGUCUCACCCAGGCUAGAGUGAAGUGGA
rnacentral:sRNA from 1 species